CUGAGGCAGUCAGUCCCAGUCAGCACCCAGCAUGGACAUGAGGACCCCUGCGCAGCUCCUGGGGCUCCUGCUGCUCUGGAUCCCAGGUGCCAGAUGUGACAUCCAGAUGACCCAGUCUCCAGCCUCCCUACCUGCAUCUCCAGGAGGCACAGUCUCCAUCACUUGCCGGGCCAGUCAGAGUAUCUAUGGUUAUUUAGCCUGGUAUCAGCAGAAACCAGGGAAAGCUCCAAGGCUCCUGAUCUACGGUGCAACCAGUUUGCAACCGGGGAUUCCAUCCAGGUUCAGUGGCAGUGGAUCUGGGACAGAGUACACUCUCACCAUCAGCAGCCUGCAGCCUGAAGAUGUUGCCACUUAUUACUGUCUACAGUAUAGCAAUUGGCCUCCCACAGUGAUACAAGUCAUAACAAAAACCUCCAUGGAAGCAGAAGUGAGAGGCUGGGCUGCCCCAGCUGCUCCUCCUGGGGCCUCCACCUCCUGACAGAGCUUCUCAGAUG